UACGAGAGACCGUACCCCAAACCGACACAGGUGGUCAGGUAGAGAAUACCAAGGCGCUUGAGAGAACUCUGGUGAAGGAACUAGGCAAAAUAGCACCGUAACUUCGGGAGAAGGUGCGCUGCUGACGGUGAAGGCCUUGCGCCGUAAGCUGUUGGCAGCCGAAGUAACCAGGCCGCUGCGACUGUUUAUUAAAAACACAGCACUCUGCAAACACGAAAGUGGACGUAUAGGGUGUGACGCCUGCCCGGUGCCGGAAGGUUAAUUGAUGGGGUCAGCCGCAAGGCGAAGCUCUUGAUCGAAGCCCCGGUAAACGGCGGCCGUAACGAUAACGGUCCUAAGGUAGCGAAAUUCCUUGUCGGGUAAGUUCCGACCUGCACGAAUGGCGUAACGAUGGCGGCGCUGUCUCCACCAGAGACUCAGUGAAAUCGAAAUCGCGGUGAAGAUGCCGUGUACCCGUGGCUAGACGGAAAGACCCCGUGAACCUUUACUGUAGCUUCACACUGGACUUUGACAUGAUCUGUGUAGGAUAGCUGGGAGGCUUUGAAGUGGUGACGCCAGUUGCCAUGGAGCCGUCCUUGAAAUACCAGCCUGGUCCUGUCGGGGUUCUAACGUCGACCUGUUAUCCAGGUUACGGACAGUGUGUGGUGGGCAGUUUGACUGGGGCGGUCUCCUCCCAAAGAGUAACGGAGGAGCACGAAGGUGCGCUAAUCACGGUCGGAAAUCGUGAGGUUAGUGUAAAGGCACAAGCGCGCUUGACUGCGAGACAGACAAGUCGAGCAGGUACGAAAGUAGGUCUUAGUGAUCCGGUGGUUCUGUAUGGAAGGGCCAUCGCUCAACGGAUAAAAGGUACUCCGGGGAUAACAGGCUGAUACCGCCCAAGAGUUCAUAUCGACGGCGGUGUUUGGCACCUCGAUGUCGGCUCAUCACAUCCUGGGGCUGAAGCCGGUCCCAAGGGUAUGGCUGUUCGCCAUUUAAAGUGGUACGCGAGCUGGGUUUAGAACGUCGUGAGACAGUUCGGUCCCUAUCUGCCAUGGGCGUUGGAGAUUUGAGAAGAGUUGCUCCUAGUACGAGAGGACCGGAGUGAACGAACCUCUGGUGUACCGGUUGUCACGCCAGUGGCAUUGCCGGGUAGCUAAGUUCGGACGGGAUAACCGCUGAAAGCAUCUAAGCGGGAAGCCUCCUUCAAGAUGAGGUCUCCCUGGAGCUUUAAGCUCCCUAAAGUGCCGUCGAAGACUACGACGUUGAUAGGCGAGGUGUGGAAGCGUUGUGAGACGUUGAGCUGACUCGUACUAAUUGCCCGUGCGGCUUGACCG
rnacentral:rRNA from 1 species